rnacentral:sRNA from 1 species
CGGGAGCAGGUACCUGAGCUGAGGCAGGUGGGGAGAGGGGAGAGGUGGUCCAGUCUAGGGUGCUUGGUUAUCAGCCCUAUCAUUUGUUCUCUAAAACCAGGGUGAAAAAGAGAACAGACUUAACGGGAGCCUUUAGACUGGACCCCACUUACCUGAAGCACAGCCAUCAGGAUUCAGGGCUUAUCACUGACUACCGGCACUGGCAGAUACCACUGGGCCGAAGAUUUCGCUCUUUGAAAAUGUGGUUUGUAUUUAGGAUGUAUGGAGUCAAAGGACUGCAGGCUUAUAUCCGCAAGCAUGUCCAGCUGUCCCAUGAGUUUGAGUCACUGGUGCGCCAGGAUCCCCGCUUUGAAAUCUGUGUGGAAGUCAUUCUGGGGCUUGUCUGCUUUCGGCUAAAGGGUUCCAACAAAGUGAAUGAAGCUCUUCUGCAAAGAAUAAACAGUGCCAAAAAAAUCCACUUGGUUCCAUGUCACCUCAGGGACAAGUUUGUCCUGCGCUUUGCCAUCUGCUCUCGCACCGUGGAAUCUGCCCACGUGCAGCGGGCCUGGGAACACAUCAAAGAGCUGGCGGCCGACGUGCUGCGAGCAGAGAGGGAGUAGGAGUGAAGCCAGCUGCAGGAAUCAAAGGUUGAAGAGAGAUAUAUCUGAAAACUGGAAUAAGAAGCAAAUAAAUAUCAUCCUGGCUUCAUGGAACCAAGUCUGUCUGUGGCUUCCCAUGUCUUUCUCCAAAGUUAUCCAGAGGGUUGUGAUUUUGCCUGCUUAGUGUCUCAUCAACAAAGAAAUAUUAUUUGCUAUAUAAAAAGUUAAUCUUCAUGGCCAUAGCUUUUAUUCAUUAACUGUGAUUUUUGUUGAUUAAAACAUUACAGAUUUUCAUGUUCUUGCAGCCAUCAGAA